rnacentral:misc_RNA from 1 species
GAUGAAGAACGCAGCGAAAUGCGAUACGUAAUGUGAAUUGCAAAUUCAGUGAAUCAUCGAGUCUUUGAACGCACAUUGCGCCCCCUGGUAUUCCGGGGGGCAUGCCUGUCCGAGCGUCAUUGCUGCCCUCAAGCACGGCUUGUGUGUUGGGCCCCGUCCUCCGAUCCCGGGGGACGGGCCCGAAAGGCAGCGGCGGCACCGCGUCCGGUCCUCGAGCGUAUGGGGCUUUGUCACCCGCUCUGUAGGCCCGGCCGGCGCUUGCCGAUCAACCCCAAUUUUUAUCCAGGUUGACCUCGGAUCAGGUAGGGAUACCCGCUGAACUUAAGCAUAUCAAUAAGCGGAGGA